UGUAACCCUUUACUUGUCCCCAUGUGGAUAUGAUGCACUUCAGAGUCAAAUACUUCAGGUGGCUAAAUCUCGUUUUCAAGAGCAUAAGGUUUCCUUUAAGGAUGUCUUUAUCUUCCAUCGGCAGGAUUACAGCCACAUGCGCACCCAACACCAGGCAGCUGUUCAGAAGGGGAGAGAGAAUGCUGGUGUUCAACCGAUGGACGGAAGACAUAAAACUGAUGAACUGUCAGAAGCCAGUCAUAAUUUUUUUGGAUUAGC
ensembl:lncRNA